rnacentral:rRNA from 1 species
CUGGCGGCGUGCUUACACAUGCAAGUCGAACGCGAAAGUUUUCUUCGGAAGACGAGUAGAGUGGCGCACGGGUGAGUAACGCGUAAGUAAUCUGCCCUGGUAUCCGGGAUAACCCACCGAAAGGUGUGCUAAUACGGGAUACGCUGAUUUAUCAGGAAAGGUGGCCUCUUCAUGAAAGCUACUGUACCAGGAGGAGCUUGCGUACCAUUAGCUAGUUGGUAGGGUAAUGGCCUACCAAGGCGACGAUGGUUAGCGGGUCUGAGAGGAUGAUCCGCCACACUGGAACUGAAACACGGACCAGACUCCUACGGGAGGCAGCAGUGAGGAAUAUUGCGCAAUGGGGGAAACCCUGACGCAGCGACGCCGCGUGGAUGAUGAAGGCCUUCGGGUCGUAAAAUCCUGUCAGAUGGAAAGAAAUGUAGUAUGCCUAAUACGUGUACUAUUUGACGGUACCAUCAAAGGAAGCACCGGCUAACUCCGUGCCAGCAGCCGCGGUAAUACGGAGGGUGCAAGCGUUGUUCGGAAUUACUGGGCGUAAAGCGCGCGUAGGCGGCUAUUUAAGUCAGAUGUGAAAGUCCACGGCUCAACCGUGGAAGUGCAUUUGAAACUGGAUGGCUUGAGUACUGGAGGGGGUGGUGGAAUUCCCGGUGUAGAGG